AGUAUUGAUUGUUCCUCCUUUCAUUUUAGGUGCAGCGCAGACUGAAUAAUAACUAUGUACUCGGAGACAUAAAUAAAUGCUAAUUCCUUCCGACAUGAAUUGUUUCCUUUUGUUCUGGAGAGGUACUUCGAAAUCGCAUGUAUGAACAAAAGAUGAGGGAAAACUCGGAGCCACGAAAGAAGUUUCAAAAUACACACUGACAGACAGGAAUCGUAGGUAAAUGUUAUAUUGAUAAAAGUUAAAUAUUUACGGGUACUUUGUACAAAAACCUAAUGCAAGUGUGAUUUUGUGUUAUACAUUUAUUUGCAGUUGUAGGGUUACCAAAAGAUGAUGAAGAGUUGUCAGAGGAAAAUUUAGAGGAUACUAGAAAAUAUCUAAGAAAGUACAAACUAAUUGACAAGUACUGCAUAGAAACGGGAAUGUACCUAGAGACGGAAAAUCUCAUAAAGAAAAACGCCGUAGUUAUCAUAACAGGGCCACCUUGUAUCGGAAAAACAAACACUGCAGUGCAUUUGACGAUGAACAAAAUGUACUCCCAUUGGGAUAUUCGCAAAAUCAGCAGAUUUUCAGAAUUCUCCUUCUUGAGAGGAAUGCAAAAUACAGUCUUUUUUAUUGAUAACGUUUUCUGUGAUGAUUCCAACUCUAGUGAGCUGAAUAAUUCGUGGAAGGAAUUGGACAUUGUAUUUGAGAUAUCAGUUAAGCCUUGUAAAGGUAAAGACGGAUUGUAUACUGGCCAAAAAGUACAUAUCUUAAUUACGGCAAGAGAAAAUGUUGUUGAAAAAGCAUGCCAGUACAUGGAUAGGGUUACGCCAAUUUUUAAUGAUGGUUUUCGCAUUUGUGUAUGCACAAAGGCACCUCAGUCCAGUAAAAGAAGCUGUAGACAAUGUUGUUUAACCGACAAUGAAAAAGUCAGAUUAUGAAAAGUCAGCUGAAAUAUGCAAAAGAUGUGUUAAAAAUCGACUGCGAAAAACUUGAUGAUGAAUUUCUUGAACGAGUAAAGGAUGUAGAAAGCCCUAUUGGAUUUCCUCUCUGUGCGCAUCUAUAUGCGUGUAAAGAAGAGUAUAGGGAAAAAGGGUGGCGUUUUUUCCCCAAAACCUACUGAUAUUCUCAGAGAUGAGUUGGAGACCGAAAUUGAGUCUGACAAGACAAAUAGAACGAAAACAUUGGUUUUGUUAAUAUUUUUGUUCGAAUUUCAGUUAAAGAAAAACGAACACGAAGAAUUGAACAUCAAUAUUGAAGAGAAAUGCAUACAUUUCCUUGAUAAAAAUUCAAAGGAUCUAAUGGAACAAUUUCACCUUUUAGAUUUCACAGACUUAGGCGGUAUUGCCAACAAGCUAACAGGAGCAUUCUUUCUUGAAAUGGGCACUGGAACAUUCCGAUUUACACAUGAUAGUGUAUUUGACGUCGUUAGUGCAUAUUUCUGUGAAAGACACUUUAAGUAAGUGGUUCGACAAUUUCCAUUACACGUGAUACAAAGCCAUGAAUACAGAUCAUUAACGGAUGAAAAAAUCGCCUUCUUUCAUUGCGACUGCUAUAGGAAAUUUUUCAUAGCGAACUUUCGAAAGUAUGCGGUUUUAGUGUCUUUAAGUUGAAAUCUUUUACAGAUGCAUUCUACAAAGAACUCUGUAAUAGAGAUGAUGGCAGUAUCAGAUGCUUUUUCAACGUUACGGAUGAGAGUUCAAAAAAGAUUUUCCUAUCACAUUUUGGGCUAGUAGGUACAGAUUGUACAGUUUAUCUAACAAAUUACUAAAGCUAGUAAGAAAUAAAAAUGUUGAUUACAACCAUCAUUUCUAUUUGAUACUUCUUGGAGAAUGUUGUGCCAACGACGCGGUCUUUUUAGAAGACAUUGAUACGAAACACUGCAGAACAACAGAAGAAAUAAAGACAAAGGUAAUGAGCUAUGAAUGGAAACAGGAAGGCUCCAUGAUUCGUGUCAUUGUGCAAUCCAGUCGACGAGACGAAGAUGUCAGCGAUAUUAUCAAAUCAGUUAGGGCCAAUGAAAACAUUAAAUCCAUUGUUAACAAACGAGAUGGCAGCGAACAAACUCCAAUCAUGUUGGCGGUGAAGAGUGUGCAGUCGCGUUCAAUGACCAUUGAAGAACUAAUGCUUUCUAACGGAGAAGUGAAUUUGAAAGACCGGAAUAGUGCAACCGUUUUUCUUCACUGCAUCAUGUCAGACAGCAAUGACGAAGUAUGCGAGGAGUACCUCAACGGCUGUUUCGCUUGUCCAAGCAUCUAAAUAUCAAUUCAGACAACUCUGAUGGUGACACUGCUCUCAAUCUUGCAGCAAAACACUCCCGUUCUAGUCGGAUACUAAGUAUAUUAGAAUUGAUGCAGUGUUCAAAUAUAAUUGUUGAAACGGUCAACGUGGAUGGGUAUUCCCCGAUCCACAAUUCUAUUGUACACUUGUGUGGUUCGGAUCCUCUAACUGACUUAGAACGAUGUGCUUGAGUAGCCAUCUUUAUUAUAUAUGGGGUAGAUCCGGAAAAGAUGUCUGACCAGGAGGAAAGCCCAAAAUCUCUAUGCGAUGCGAAAGGUCUUGAAAAUGCUAAAAGAAUAAUAGCCAAUCCGAAAGAUCAAAAUAGUAUGGCGCGCGUCCUUGCAGACCUGUUAGAUACUUUAAAACAGCAACAAAGUAAAAAUCUAUCGAAAAGGAUCAUACAGAUACCAAAUCCACAAAAUAGAAUGAUUGAAGAAGUAAAUAUGGCAAUUGAAAAGGCAGUCAACAUUUUACGGAACGUUAAAUUUGGCUCCAAGAAAGAAACAAAGAAAGAAACAAUGGAUAUUACGACAGAUUAUAUGAUGGAAUUGUAAAUAUAAACUAAGUACUAUCUUUUCCAUUUGGUUGCUUCUUAUGUAUUACACAUACAAAAUGUAUUGGUGAUGUAAUGGAAUUUAAUUUGCUCACAGACCCGGUGUAAACUUUAAUUAUGGUGAUUUGAAGUCGUCUGCUACAUUGGCGUUUCAGAAUUUAUCGAUAUAUUCGUAUUAUGUACACUGAAUCAUUCAGACAAUUGAUAUUCCAUGUGAACUGCCAUCCAUGGGGAAAUAGAAUGCUCGUCUUUUCACUGGCGCAAUAUUUUCAGAAUGGUGAUGUUUCCUUCAUUUAACCCGACCAAACAUGAUCAUUUCAUGACUUCUUUGUCCAAUGUUAUGUGUCAUAGUUUAUAUAUUUCGCGUAGUCUUAACUAUGCUAUUAUGUUCCAUAUCGUCAAACACAAGAAUGUAUUACAUAUAUGUUAUUUCGGAUUACAAACAUUUCGGUUUAUCAUCACUGAAGAGAUAUUAUUUGUCGAAAUGCGCAUCUGGUGCAUCAAAAUUGAUACCGUAUAAGUUUUACAUUAUAUAUGAUUAUUCAUGCGAGUAUAUUUCGUUUUAACUCGUUUCGUUCUUUAACAAAACUCACUAAAAUUCAGUAGAACAAUGGUGUCUACUCUGAUAUAUUAUAUUUAAUACCAGCCUCUUUUGAUUAGCGUUUGUUACAAUUGUAUAAUAUUUGUUUUUGUUAAUAACAAAUU